rnacentral:sRNA from 1 species
GCUGGGCAUGGUGGCUCAUGCCUGUAAUCCUAGCACUUUGGGAAGCUGAGGCGGGUGGAUCACUUGAGGCCAGGAGUUCAAGACUAGCCUGGCCAACAUGGUGAAACCCCGUCUCUA